GUCCUACGGGGCGCAGCAGUAGGGAAUCUUCCACAAUGGACGAAAGUCUGAUGGCGCAACGCCGCGUGAGUGAAGAAGGGUUUCGGCUCGUAAAGCUCUGUUGGUAGUGAAGAAAGAUAGAGGUAGUAACUGGCCUUUAUUUGACGGUAAUUAAUUAGAAAGGCACGGCUAACUACGUGCCAGCAGCCGCGGUAAUACGUAGGGGGCAAGCGUUGUCCGGAUUUAUUGGGCGUAAAGCGAGUGCAGGCGGGUCAAUAAGUCUGAU
rnacentral:rRNA from 1 species